UGUGGUCAAGAGGUCGUAAAGUUUUUUGGCCAUCAAGUGAAAGACACGUAGAGACUUUUUACCGACAUGUUUUUUUUUUGUGGUCAAGAGGUCGUAAAGUUUUUUGGCCAUCAUCUAAUUAUUCUGCAUUUUCAUUUUUCUGAAAGACCUACUACCAACCCAUUUUGGAGUAAUUAACUUCGUAUUUCCAAAGUUUUUAAAAGACAAAUAAUUUAGCAGAAUGCUGAGGUUUUUGCAGAUGUGAGUUUUUUAAGCAUUGGAGUUGUUUAUUCUCUUGCAGCUGAAACUGAACACUAGGCUGUGUACUUUAAGAAUCAAAAUGCUGAAUCUUGGUAGACGAGAAUCGGGAGGCAAAACAAAUCUAUGUCUUUUGAAGGAUUGGAUUUUGCAGACCCCAAAAAAGAACAACAAUUACAUGGGGAAGAUUCCGAUGGCCAUGACACUUACAGCAAUAGAUUAGAGCCAAUAGAUUGGAGCCAGUUUCGAAUCAAUAUCGAGAUCGUCGCAUGGUCGUACCUUGAAAAAAGAAUGAAAACAAUUAAGAUUCUUUUCACGGAGGAGAAAUCUCAAACUUGAAAAGACUUGGGACUUUUAUAUCGUUUACCAGGAAAAGGACGAGAUUGGAGAGGAAGCGAGAAGAAGAAGAAGAAGAAGAAGCUGAAUCGGAAGAAGAAGAAAGCAAACCGUGAGAAGUAAUGGCUGAUACAACACUCUGAGUCUUCUCCAGUCGCCUUAGCUCUUCCAUCAAAAAAAAAAAAGAAAAAAUUAGACUUUUACAAAAUCGAUUCGGACUUUAAUUACUCGUUUCGUGCAAAUCCUUGUUAAUAAAUAUCUAAUUUGGUUUCC